UGUCUCAGGAUAUGCAAUGUCUAGGAGU
rnacentral:piRNA from 1 species